UACGUAGGUGGCAAGCGUUGUCCGGAAUUAUUGGGCGUAAAGCGCGCGCAGGCGGUCCUUUAAGUCUGAUGUGAAAUCCCACGGCUCAACCGUGGAAGGUCAUUGGAAACUGGGGGACUUGAGUACAGAAGAGGAAAGCGGAAUUCCAAGUGUAGCGGUGAAAUGCGUAGAGAUUUGGAGGAACACCAGUGGCGAAGGCGGACUUUCUGGUCUGUAACGUGACGCUGAGGCGCGAAAGCG
rnacentral:rRNA from 1 species